UACAGAGGUCUCAAGCGUUGUUCGGAUUCAUUGGGCGUAAAGGGUGCGUAGGCGGCGCGGUAAGUCGGGUGUGAAAUCUCGGAGCUUAACUCCGAAACUGCAUUCGAUACUGCCGUGCUUGAGGACUGGAGAGGAGACUGGAAUUUACGGUGUAGCGGUGAAAUGCGUAGAUACUCGUAAGGAAGACCAGUGGCGAAGGCGGGGUCUCUGGACAGUUCCUGACGCUGAGGCACGAAGGUCAGGGAGCAAACGGG
rnacentral:rRNA from 1 species